rnacentral:lncRNA from 11 species
UUUGGAGACAGUAAUAAGAUGUAGCUGGAUCAGCAAAGCUCUCACCCUUCAACCCAAAAGCCUGAGCUUCUACCUGCACCAACUUCAGAUCAGCUUAUUGAGUAAGACCACAAUUUGGA